rnacentral:rRNA from 1 species
GUGCACGCUGGCGGUAGGCCUAACACAUGCAAGUCGAACGGCAGCACAGUAAGAGCUUGCUCUUACGGGUGGCGAGUGGCGGACGGGUGAGGAAUACAUCGGAAUCUACUUUUUCGUGGGGGAUAACGUAGGGAAACUUACGCUAAUACCGCAUACGACCUACGGGUGAAAGCAGGGGAUCUUCGGACCUUGCGCGAUUGAAUGAGCCGAUGUCGGAUUAGCUAGUUGGCGGGGUAAAGGCCCACCAAGGCGACGAUCCGUAGCUGGUCUGAGAGGAUGAUCAGCCACACUGGAACUGAGACACGGUCCAGACUCCUACGGGAGGCAGCAGUGGGGAAUAUUGGACAAUGGGCGCAAGCCUGAUCCAGCCAUACCGCGUGGGUGAAGAAGGCCUGCGGGUUGUAAAGCCCUUUUGUUGGGAAAGAAAAGCAGCAGGUUAAUACCCCGCUGUUCUGACGGUACCCAAAGAAUAAGCACCGGCUAACUUCGU